GCGGGCAUACGUAUGAUCUAAGCCAUGCGAGUCAUUGUAGUAAUACAAGGCAGACGGCUCAGUAACGCGUCCUUUCCUAACCUAUGGACGGGAAUAACCUCGGGAAACUGAGCAUAAUGCCCGAUAGAACAUUAUGCCUGGAAUGGUUUAUGUUCCAAAUGAUUUAUGGCCGUAGGAUGGGACUGCGGCCUAUCAGUUUGUUGGUGAGGUAAUGGCCCACCAAGACUAUUACAGGUACGGGCUCUGAUAGGAGUGGCCCGGAGAUGGGUACUGAGACACGGACCCAGGCCCUAUGGGGCGCAGCAGGCGAGAAAACUUUGCAAUGUGCGAAAGCACGACUAGGUUAAUCCGAGUGGUUUCUGCUAAAGAGACCUUUUGUCGGCCCUAGAAACACCGAUGAAUAAGGGGUGGACAAGUUCUGGUGUCAGCCGCCGCGGUAAAACCAGCACCUCAAGUGGUCAGGAUGAUUAUUGGGACUAAAGCAUCCGUAGCCGGCUCUGUUAGUUUUCGGUUAAAUCUGUACGCUCAACGUACAGGCUGCCGGGAAUACUGCAGAGCUAGGGAGUGGGAGAGGUAGACUGCACUCGGUAGGAAGGGGUAAAAUCCUUUGAUCUAUUGAUGACCACCUGUGGCGAAGGCGGUCUACCAGAACACGUCCGACGGUGAGGGAUGAAAGCUGGCGGAGCAAACCGGAUUAGAUACCCGGGUAGUCCCAGCUGUAAACUAUGCAAACUCAGUGAUGCGAUGGCUUUGUGUCAAUGCAGUGCUGCAGGGAGCCCAUUAACUUUGCCGCCUGGGAAGUACGUACGCAAGUAUGAAACUCAAAGGAAUG
rnacentral:rRNA from 1 species